AAAAUCACCGGGGGUAAUAUCUCACCGUUCCAGAACCAUCCCAUCUCCGAGAGUCCUAGAAAAGGCUGCAGCCUCGACGAAAGCUUGCACUGCUUCCGCUGUCGAAAAGUAACAUUGACGUCUGCUUCUGCCAGAAUCGUGUCAUCGGCGACAGUCCUCUAUCCCCAGCGGUAUUAUCACUGUCCACCUAGCGACAGCUACCUCGAGUAAACGAUUAAGGAACAAUAUGUUCAAGAAGGCGGCAGAAGCGAAGUUACACCAGAGAUUAUCUGGUGCAGACAGGAAGAAGCUGAAGAGGACUGUUAAAGAAAGGUUCCCCGGAGCUUCCGACGCCGAUAUUGAUGUCUUGCUUCCUCCCAAGGUCGAGUUUUCUGUUGCCAAGUUCCAAAAUCGCGUCCACAUAUAUAGUCUAGAAGGAGGCUUUCCUAUGUUUUUUGACGUCGAUGGGAGAGGAACUGACAUAUUCCCCACAGUUUUUGCACUCUGGAUGGUACCAGAGUUGUUGCCUGCCUUCAUUCUGAAGGGGGGUGAAGUCUCUCGCUAUGUGAUAGGAGGAGCAGACUUGAUGUUCCCCGGUAUUCAUGUUCCUGCUGAAGGUCUGCCCUCUUUUUCAUCUGGGGAACCAUGGGCUGUGAAAGUCCCUGGCAAUGCAUCUCCUAUUGCUGUUGGUGUUACCACCAUGAGUAGCACUGAAGCAUUAAAAGCGGGUUUACGUGGAAAGGCUCUGAGAAUUCUACACUACUACAGGGAUUCCCUUUGGGGAUCAGUAGAGGGUCAUUAUGUGCCGAAUGCAGGUUUUUUGGAAGAUGCUGUAUAUGGAGAUCCUGCUUUGGCAUCAUCUUCACAAACCGAUGGCUCUUGUGAAGGUACUGAAGCUGACGAUGCUUCAAAUUAUGGACAGAAUGACAGUGGCAAUAAAGAAGUUGGGGGAUCUGUCGAUGAAACUACAAGUGAUGUUCUUGAUGAGUCUGGCGUUGUUCUAACAGCACAAACUGAUUCAACUACUGAUGAAAUCGUUUCUGGUGUGAAUGAUUUGAAGGUUGUAAAUGAUAUUUCCACUGAGGAACCAAAUGUGCAACAUACUCUAUCAGCUGAAGAUGUGGACAAGCUUCUCGAUAAAUGUCUUCUUCAAGCCCUACAUACAACAGUGAAAGACAAAGAUUUUCCACUUCCUGGAAGCACUCUAUGGUCAAAUCAUGUAUUGCCUUGUCGGCCUCCUGGCAUGAUGCUAGACAUCAAGAAAUCAUCCUACAAGAAAUUGUCAAAGUGGUUGCAAGCUAAAUCCUCUACUGGACUGAUUACAGUGAGAGAGGAUAAGCACAAAAAAGAGACGGUUUUGUACUCUGUUAACCAUAAGCAUCCAGACUACAUUUCCUUUAAACCAGAGAAGCAACAGGUAGAGAAAAUUGAUCAGAGCAACAAUCACGGUCCAAAAGAAAGUUCAUCCAAUAAAAUGCUUGAAGUAGCAGAGAUAUACAAGCCAAGUGUGCAUGUCAAUCCCAUUUUUGUUACUGUGGGGGCGGACACUAGCAAACUUUACACUGCAGCAGAGGCUACUGAUAUUGUCUUCCAAUACGUUGAGAAAGAAAAGUUGGAGAAACCAACAGAUAAGACUAGAGUGGUCUUGGAUGCAAUAUUAUGCGAUGCACUGUUCAAGGGGGCCAUUAAGAAAGGAACAACAUAUCCAACAGAAAUUCAUAAAAAAGAUAUAGGUUCAACAUUUAUCAGCCGGAUGCAACCUCAUCAUAUUGUAACAAGAGGAAGUGAGUCUGUUGUUUGCAAAGGUGCAUUAAAAACUAUUCAAAUAAUGACAGAGCGACGCCAAGGAAAUAAGAAAGUUACAAGACUUUCUGGAUUGCAAACGUUCUUGUUGGAUGCUGAAGCAUUGGCAUCAGAGCUUCAGAAAAAGUGUGCUUGCAGUACGACGGUGGCAGAGUUGCCUGGUAAAAAAGGGUAUGAAGUUGUGGUCCAAGGUGGAGUCAUUGAUGGCUUGGCAAGACAUCUGAUUGAACAAUAUGGGAUUCCAAAAAAGUACAUUGAAGUACUUGAUAAAACAAGGAAAUGAGAGGCUAGAGCUGGAAGUAACGUUGAUAUGCGAUAAUCGACUGCUUCCCACUGAUUUGCUCAUGGAAAUGACCAAAUUGGUCCAACUUGUUCUCAUCACUUAAUUGCACCAACACGACACGAUUUCUGACACAUAUCCUAGCUACUACCAAUGGUUAUAAACCCAAGUCUUAUUUGGGACUUGAUUAUGUUAAGAUUUUAAAAAGUGGAACGAAUAGAACAACGAAGAGGUGGUUACUGUUGUCGACAGAGAGGGAACUUACGAACCCCAGGCUUAUGAUAUCAAGUAAAGAUCUGCUACUACCAGCACCCGCAUCAUGCAAAGGGAAAGCCCGAAUCAAAAGAUAUGAUAGAAGUUAUUGACGAUGAGGUAUCAAAAUUUGAUUCAUGCAACAAAGAUAGAUUCCUCGUUUGUCUCUUUAGGCUGGAAAAUUGGUUCUAGUUUCAACCACACUGAGUGUUUAUCAACUUUAAAUUUGUUCAUCCCGUGUUUUAGGCCGCCUUGUGUAAAAGAAAAUGUUUGUAGGACAAACCAAAUAUGAUUUUAUCAAACCUUUGAGAGAUUUUCUUACACUAAUGAGUUAUUUCAGUGGUCUUGUUAUUUUACCCCUUGACUUUUAAUCCUAAAGUUUAUUUUUAAA